UGGAACUAUUGCUGUUAUCGAUCAUGCUAAAUCGGAUGGUGAUAACGAAAGUUCUUCUGAUCACUCUAAUCACUCAUCUAUUUCAAACCUUAAUGAACAGCUACAUAAAUUAACUGUCAAUAACACAAGUAUUACCAGAAAUUGGUACUCUAGACCAACUCCUCCGGAUCUACAGUUCGAAGAAAGAAAUCUAGAUAAACAGUUUUUUGUGUCCUCUAAUAAAA
rnacentral:lncRNA from 1 species